UUUGAUCAUGGCUCAGAUUGAACGCUGGCGGCAGGCCUAACACAUGCAAGUCGAGCGGCAGCACAGAGAAACUUGUUUCUCGGGUGGCGAGCGGCGGACGGGUGAGUAAUGCCUGGGAAAUUGCCCUGAUGUGGGGGAUAACCAUUGGAAACGAUGGCUAAUACCGCAUGAUGCCUACGGGCCAAAGAGGGGGACCUUCGGGCCUCUCGCGUCAGGAUAUGCCCAGGUGGGAUUAGCUAGUUGGUGAGGUAAGGGCUCACCAAGGCGACGAUCCCUAGCUGGUCUGAGAGGAUGAUCAGCCACACUGGAACUGAGACACGGUCCAGACUCCUACGGGAGGCAGCAGUGGGGAAUAUUGCACAAUGGGCGCAAGCCUGAUGCAGCCAUGCCGCGUGUGUGAAGAAGGCCUUCGGGUUGUAAAGCA
rnacentral:rRNA from 1 species